rnacentral:tRNA from 1 species
GGGAAUGUGGCUUAGUGGUACAGUGCUUGCUUAGCAUGCAUGAGGCCUUGGGUUCGAUUCCUCAGUACCA